UCUGGUGAUAUCCCGCAGUGGACCCACCCGUUCCCAUCCCGAACACGGAAGUGAAACGCUGCAAAGCCGAUGAUAGCCUGACGAAAGGUCACGCAAAAGUAGGCAGUCGCCAGUUUAUUUCAUUCAAGGCCGUUCCAGAAAUGGAACGGCCUUG
rnacentral:rRNA from 1 species